rnacentral:rRNA from 1 species
GACAUAGGUGGCGAACGUUAUCCGGAAUUACUGGGCGUAAAGAGUGCGUAGGUGGUUCAAUAAGUUACUGGUGGGAAAUCGGGGCUCAACCUCGUGGAAGUCAGUAAUACUAUUAAACUAGAGGGUCGGAGAGGUUAACGGAAUUCUAUGUGUAGCGGUAAAAUGCUUAAAUAUAUAGAGGAACACCAAACGGCGAAGGCAGUUAAACUAUUCGAUUCCUGACGUUGAGGCACGAAAGCGUGGGGAGCAAGACGG